rnacentral:rRNA from 1 species
UAAUCGCGCAUCAGCCAUGGCGCGGUGAAUACGUUCCCGGGCCUUGUACACACCGCCCGUCACACCAUGGGAGUCGGUAACACCCGAAGUCGGUAGCCUAACCGUAAGGAGGGCGCCGCCGAAGGUGGGAUUGAUGACUGGGGUGAAGUCGUAACAAGGUAGC